rnacentral:rRNA from 1 species
GAUGAACGCUGGCGGUAUGCCUAACACAUGCAAGUCGUACGAGAGUUUUUAACCCUAGUGGCGGACGGGUGAGUAACACGUGAGAAUUUGCCUUUAGGAGGGGACAACAAUCGGAAACGAAUGCUAAUACCCCAUAUGCUUUCGAGUGAAAUGGAUUUUAUCCGCCUAGAGAGAAGCUCGCGGCUGAUUAGCUUGUUGGUAAGGUAAGAGCUUACCAAGGCGACGAUCAGUAUCUGGUUUGAGAGGACGAUCAGACACACUGGAACUGAGACACGGUCCAGACUCCUACGGGAGGCAGCAGUGGGGAAUUUUCCGCAAUGGGCGAAAGCCUGACGGAGCAAUACCGCGUGAAGGAAGAAGGUUCUAUGGAUUGUAAACUUCUUUUAUUUAGGAAUAAACCUCCCGACGUGUCGGGAGCUGAAGGUACUAAAUGAAUAAGCACCGGCUAACUCCGUG